CCGGGUGAGUAACACGUAUCCACCUGCCGUCUACUCUUGGCCAGCCUUCUGAAAGGAAGAUUAAUCCAGGAUGGCAUCAUGAGUUCACAUGUCCGCAUGAUUAAAGGUAUUUUCCGGUAGACGAUGGGGAUGCGUUCCAUUAGAUAGUAGGCGGGAUAACGGCCCACCUAGUCAACGAUGGAUAGGGGUUCUGAGAGGAAGGUCCCCCACAUUGGAACUGAGACACGGUCCAA
rnacentral:rRNA from 1 species